GAUGAACGCUGGCGGCGUGCCUAAUACAUGCAAGUCGAGCGAACAGACGAGGAGCUUGCUCCUCUGACGUUAGCGGCGGACGGGUGAGUAACACGUGGAUAACCUACCUAUAAGACUGGGAUAACUUCGGGAAACCGGAGCUAAUACCGGAUAAUAUAUUGAACCGCAUGGUUCAAUAGUGAAAGACGGUUUUGCUGUCACUUAUAGAUGGAUCCGCGCCGCAUUAGCUAGUUGGUAAGGUAACGGCUUACCAAGGCAACGAUGCGUAGCCGACCUGAGAGGGUGAUCGGUCACACUGGAACUGAGACACGGUCCAGACUCCUACGGGAGGCAGCAGUAGGGAAUCUUCCGCAAUGGGCGAAAGCCUGACGGAGCAACGCCGCGUGAGUGAUGAAGGUCUUCGGAUCGUAAAACUCUGUUAUUAGGGAAGAACAAAUGUGUAAGUAACUAUGCACGUCUUGACGGUACAUAAUCAGAAAGCCACGGCUAACUACGUG
rnacentral:rRNA from 1 species